CCUACGGGUGGCAGCAGUAGGGAAUAUUGGGCAAUGGAGGCAACUCUGACCGAGCAACGCCGCGUGAAUGAUGAAGGUCUUCGGAUUGUAAAGUUCUGUGGUGGGGGAUGAACACAAUGACGGUACCCCAAUAGCAAGCCACGGCUAACUACGUGCCAGGCGCCGCGGUAAUACGUAGGUGGCAAGCGUUUUCCGGAAUGACUGGGCGGAAAGGGUGCGUAGGUGGUUUAGUAAGUUGACGGUGUAAUUCCUGGGCCUAACCUCGGCGAUACCGCCAAAACUAUUAGACUAGAGUGCAGGAGGGGUGAGUGGAAUUCCUAGUGUAGCGGUGGAAUGCGUAGAUAUAAGGAGGAACAUCAGGGGCGAAGGCGACUUACUGGACUGUAACUGACACUGAGGCACGAAAGCGUGGGGAGCAAACAGGAUUAGAUACCCCAGUAGUC
rnacentral:rRNA from 1 species